ACGACUCACUAUAGGGCGAAUUGGGCCCUCUAGAUGCAUGCUCGAGCGGCCGCCAGUGUGAUGGAUAUCUGCAGAAUUCGGCUUAGAGUUUGAUCCUGGCUCAGAACGAACGUUAGCGGUGUGGAUUAGGCAUGCAAGUCGUGCGCGAAAGCCUUAGGGCGAGUAAAGCGGCGAAAGGGUGAGUAACACGUAACCAACGUACCCUACAGACCGGAAUAACCACUGGAAACGGUGGGCAAUGCCGGAUGGUCCUCUAAGGAGACAUCUUCUAGGAGGUAAACGGCGGCGUAAGCUGCUGCUGUGGGAGCGGGUUGCGGCCUAUCAGCUAGUUGGUGGGGUAAAGGCCUACCAAGGCGACGACGGGUAGCGGGUCUGAGAGGAUGAUCCGUCACACUGGGACUGAGACACUGCCCAGACUCCUACGGGAGGCUGCAGUCGAGAAUCUUCCGCAAUGGGCGAAAGCCUGACGGAGCGACACCGCGUGCAGGAUGAAGGCUCUAGGGUUGUAAACUGCUGUCACGCCAUAGGAAAGUCAUGGUGUUAAUAGCGCUAUGAUUGACUAAAGCGAGAGGAAGAGCCGGCUAACUCCGUGCCAGCAGCCGCGGUAAGACGGAGGGCUCAAACGUUGUUCGGAAUCACUGGGCAUAAAGAGCACGUAGGCGGCCUAUUAAGUCGAUUGUGAAAUCCCUCGGCUCAACCGGGGAACUGCAUUCGAAACUGGUAGGCUAGAGGACGGAAGGGGCGAGUGGAACUACCAGGUGGAACGGUGAAAUGUGUAGAUAUCUGGAGGAACACCAGUGGCGAAGGCGACUCGCUGGUCCGUAUCAGACG
rnacentral:rRNA from 1 species